GAUGAACGCUAGCGGGAGGCUUAACACAUGCAAGUCGAGCGGGAAGGGUAGCAAUACCCUGAGAGCGGCGCACGGGUGCGUAACGCGUAUGCAACCUGCCUUAUACAGGGGGAUAGCCCAUGGAAACGUGGAUUAAUAUCCCAUAGGACAUUUGAAUCGCAUGGUUUGAAUGUUAAAGCUGAGGUGGUAUAAGAUGGGCAUGCGUCUGAUUAGGUAGUUGGUAGGGUAACGGCCUACCAAGCCGACGAUCAGUAGGGGUUCUGAGAGGAUUACCCCCCACACUGGUACUGAGACACGGACCAGACUCCUACGGGUGGCUG
rnacentral:rRNA from 1 species